rnacentral:lncRNA from 1 species
UCUGAAUCACAACGAACGAUUUUCUCUGCGCAUGCAGGUGAAGCUGGUUCCCUACAACCCAGAGUACCAGGACGAGUCUGUGCUGUGGACGGAGAGCAAGGAUGUGGGCAAGGGCUUCCGCUGCAUCCGCAUGGUGAACAACAUCUACCUCAACUUCGACGCCUUCCAUGGCGACAAGGAUCACGGCGGCAUCCACGAUGGCACCGAGAUCGUGCUGUGGAAGUGGUGCGAGGGUGACAACCAGCGCUGGAAGAUCCUCCCCUGGUGUAAGUUCCACCGCUAACAAUGCACAAUGCCAUCGCUGAUCGAUUAAUUUCCUUCGGAUCCUCUGAAGAAAUCAGAGAUUCUGACACUUGGAUUGCUGCUUCUUUGCAUCUGCAGAGAUUCCGGGGAGGGGGAGCUGCAUUGCAUUGCCAUCGUCGUCGCGUCUGCUCUGCUUCUACUCUAGCUAAUAAUUUGAUCGAUCUGCUACCGAAAUAAGACCGUGUUCGUUCGUUCGAUCGAUCGGAGUAUGGCAGUCAAUGGUGUCCGUCCGUCCUCGAGUUUGUGUCAGUGUGUGUCCUUUUGCGAGCCAGUGAUUGCUAUGAGAUGAAACAGUGGGUGAUGUAAGUGCAGGAGGAGGGGCCAUAUGAUUCAGAAAUCUGAUGCAACUCAUCUUGCUUUCCCCUGUACUCUCUACUUUUCGUAUGCCUAAUGAAUGAAUUAUGAAUGGCUCAUUUGUCUCGACCCUGUUGUUUCCCCUUCUUCUGUUUGUGACGUGUAAUUUUGCUGAAAAAAAAGGCGUGGUACUGGAACACGUUCUCCAAGUCAUAAUGAUGAAACAAAAUGCUUUGAAUUUGGGUAGGACGAAACCCGAUUUCGUCGAACUCGAAAAGCAGAGAGGCGUCCAAGGCGUCGAUCUCGUGAAGGGGUUCGGAUUUUUAUUCACCCGGACGAACCCCUUCUGGCCGUCGCGAACCGUUGGAUUGGAACGGGCGGCUAGGGCUAGGCCACGGAGGAGGACACACGAUCGAAGAGCACCAAGCGCAGGAGGCCGGCAAGGCAGUCCUGGUUGGGCUUUAGUGCACUGGGCUGCAUCAUGGCCCAUACGUACAAACAGUGCAGGUAGCCACAAAAAGAAAAGAGUUCACAUUAGAUACCUCAAGUAAUGGGUAUAGAGCGUCCCCUACUAUCAAAACAUUGUAUAUCGAGUCCCGCGGUGGUUUAGACGGCAGUUGUAUCAUAUGUGGAAAAAAUAUUGACCUAGUCUUCACCUGAUAAGUCACUUACAUGUAAUUACAAUCAGCGGAAAAAAACAAAAAAACAUAUGAAGAAUAGGAUCCACAUGUCUGAUUUAAAAAAAAUCAUUGGUCCCAGAUGUUAUAAUCUCGGGUCUGUUCACUUUAAUAUCAUACCAUUUUUGGUAAAGUUGCCAAAAAAUAUGUCUAUGUUUAGUUUGUUGCCAAAUUUGAUCACAAAUCCUGCUAAAAUUGUAGCAAUAUUGUCAUCUUGCCAAUAUUUUGGCACUGCCAAAACUUGGUAACGUUUAUUUUGGCUACAAUCUAAACAUGUCCCUCCUCCUUCCUCAUUCCUCACUCUCCACCUUACGCCUUUGGUCGAUGGGUCGCAGAGACCCCAACCUAGCCAAUGAACCAUAGUGUUACGCUAAAGCAUGCCCACAUGCCCACAAACGAGCCAUAGUGCCCGUCCGAGAGAGAGAGAGAGAGAGAGCGGGGGGAUAGGGAGAGGAGAGGAGAGGAGAGGUGGAGGUGUGAAGGGAGAAGAUGAGUCCCACCUUUUUUUUCCUUACCGGAUGCAACUUAACCAUAGUGGAAAAAACCGGACCGGUAGAUGACCCAGUCACCCUUCUGGUUCACCGGUCUCGGACAGUUUGACCAUGAACCAGCCGAUCGAACCGCAGUUUACUAAGUGCAUGCAUGUAACGUAUGUAUUUCAAUGCUAACACAUACUCCAUCCGUUUCAAAAUGUUUGACACCGUUGACUUUUUAGCACAUGUUUGACCGUUCGUCUUAUUCAAAAAAAUUAUGAAAUAUGUAAAACUAUAUGUGUACAUGAGAGUAUAUUUAACAAUAAAUCAAAUGAUAUGAAAAGAAUAAAUAAUUACUUAAUUUUUUUAAAUAAGACGAAUGAUCAAACACGUACUAAAAAGUCAACGGUGUCAAACAUUUUGAAACGGAGAGAGUACAUCCGAUUGGUAGGAUGGCCACGGGAGUUGCCAUGCAUCCCAUUGACCAGGGAUGAACCGGCCAUCGUGUGGCCCAUUCAUUCAUUGACUUGCCUUAGUCCGGCUGGACCAAAGGCGGUUUAUUGCCCGGUUCAUCACAAAACCGGCCGCCAACCUCUGGUUCCGAUUUUUUUCCGGUUAAACUGUCAGUCCGUUCCAGUUUUUUUUCCACUAUGCAAUUAACGCCAUGUUGUAGAAAACCACCGUACAACUUGCCAAUAAGGUAGCUUCCUUCUUCUUUCUUUUUUUUUUUUGAGAACUAGGUUAGCUUCCUUCUAGAGCUCCUUGUACGACCUCGUUGGAAAACUCAUUGUUGGACCUAAUUCAUCACUCUUUUUAUUUCAAACUAAAGGGUUUCCUUUUUAGACUUUUCUAAUUGUUCCAAACUAAUAGAGGUGGCAUCAAUCAAAUUUGCUCUUUCUUGUCCUAUCUAAGAGUAUCUUGAUGAAACUCUUAUCUUUAUCGACUUUCGUAAUCAAAAUUUUAGUUUUUUCAAGCUGCUCAAUGGUCACUUUACGACAUGAUUAGUGUUAUGCUCGGUAUUAUUGUAGUUGAGGGAGAAUAAGUGUAACUUCCGUUCAUGAUCGGCCCGUUAAGAAUUUAGACCCAUUAGUCCCACCCCCAACUCCCUUUUCUUUUCUUCCUUUUUGGCCAAAUUUUCAAAUUUCUGGUGGAUACACUGCACGCCCGGGGAAUUUUCUGUCGAAAAAUUGUAUAGGUAAUCCCUAAUAAAUUUCUAAAUGUGCUUGGCUGAUUCCUUUUCUUCUCGAUCGAUCCCGUUAUUCCUUUUUAAUCUUUUCUUGUGCGGAAUUGCAGCACUUUUUCUCUGCUUGAUCACAACGCAGCAAGGACAUGAGAAUACGUGAGAUUCUCCGGGCGAUGGAGCUGCACCGUGUGCUUUGCUAUCGUCUCGCGUCGCGCUCGCCUGCAAUAAUACGGCAGCCAGAUCGAGAUGGUUCCCAAAACGACUAGAAACGGAAUCACGUAAAGCACCAUGGAUGGAUGGAAUCACCUUUUCCCCAGGAAAGCGCAAGUGUGGAAUGGCAUCAUCUAUCCUACCAAGUUCCUAAGCCCCUGACCAUGCAGUGCACGAAUAAUGCACAUCGAUCAGCUAUCUAGAGAGAGAGAGAGAGAGAGAGAGAGAGAUAGAUAGCAUCUCGAUCAGUGCUACUGAUCAAUCGAUCAUCCCCUAUAAAUCCCCCAUCCCAUUGCCAUGCAUAGAGGCAGCACAUCAACGAUCGAACGAACAACGCACUCUGCAGCUAGCUAUACAAUCUCUGUUUAAUUAGCUAGGUAGCUAGCGAGUCAUAAAUCAAGAAGCCAUGGACUUUUACGGGCGGCGCGAGCAGUACGGCGGGUAUGGCGGGUACGGUGGCGGCGGCGCCCUGGCGACGCCGGGGUACGCGCCGGCGGCGCCGUACGGGAUGUCGCAGGUGAACAUCGAGGGGAACGGGUGUGGCAGGACGCUGCCGCCGCAGCCGACGGUGAAGGUGUACUGCCGGGCGAACCCGAACUACGCGAUGACGGCGCGGAACGGCGCGGUGGUGCUGGCGCCGGCGAACCCCAAGGACGAGUACCAGCAUUGGAUCAAGGACAUGAGGUGGAGCACCAGCAUCAAGGACGAGGAGGGCUACCCUGCCUUCGCCCUCGUCAACAAGGCCACCGGCCAGGCCAUCAAGCACUCCCUCGGCCAGUCACACCCUGUAAGCUAGUCUCAGCGUUCUUUCUCUGAAUCUGAAUCCGCCGGCCAUUGAUGGCGAUCGACGACGAUGCUCUUGCGUGCAGGUGAGGCUGGUGCCGUACAACCCGGAGGUGAUGGACGAGUCGGUGCUGUGGACGGAGAGCCGCGACGUGGGGAACGGGUUCAGGUGCAUCCGCAUGGUGAACAACAUCUACCUCAACUUCGACGCCUUCCACGGCGACAAGUACCACGGCGGCGUCCGCGACGGCACCGACAUCGUGCUCUGGAAGUGGUGCGAGGGCGACAACCAGCGCUGGAAGAUCCAGCCCUACUACUGAGCUGAUCGAUACAUCGAUCCAGCUCU